AAGCCUAUACUUUCAGGGAUCAUUCCUAUAGUUAGUUACUAGAGAAGCCUCUGACUGGGUAGAGUGUACCAUAAACCACAAGGAGGAGGUGUGGCCUUCCCUUCUGAACGUGAAGCUGGCUCCAAGUGUUGCUUUGCUACAACUACCACUUGCAGUUGAUGCUCACCUUCCAGAGAGUUGGAGGGAGAGGAUGCAGUCUGCAUGGA
ensembl:snoRNA U3 Small nucleolar RNA U3